rnacentral:antisense_RNA from 1 species
CUAUUGACCAGAAGCCUUACCAAUAACAUAAACAGUUAACACAUAUUCUGUAUAUAUAUUGUAUACUGUAUUCUUACUUUAAUAAAGUAAGCUAAAUAAAAUGUUAUUGAAAUCAUAAGGAAGAGGAAAUGUAUUUAUAACACUGUAUUGUAUUUGUACAGUACGUGUACAUGGUCUGUUUACAAGAUGAAUCGUCUGACUGAAAUGACUGCUGCUGCACACUCCAAACUAUGGUAUAUAUCAAAGCAAUUCAACUUUUCUAGUAGUGUCAUGACUUUGCUUCUUGAGAAUACUUCCAGCAUCACUAGUGGCAUUUUAUAUGGGUCCCAUGGUGUUAUUCAAGGUUUAUGUUAUUGCACUAAACAUGAAAAAUACACAAGAACCAUGAGAGAUUAUGUUUACUGUGAUACACAAUUUACUGGAAAGAUGAGCUGACCACAUGCAGAUUAACAUCACACGGUGUUUUAAACAGAUACUCACAACACUUGAGCUCACUGCAAUAGCAACGGGAGGUGGUUAUGAAAUUAUUGUAGUACUACAGUAUGUACUACAGCUAAUCUUAUGCAUUUAUGAUUUAAAACUGCAUCUUUACAUGUGUUUACUUUUUCCCAAUUGUGAAUGCUGUCAUGUACAUCUGUGCUUGUGCAAGUUUUGAUAAAUUUUAACUUUUUAAAAUAGAUAUUUGUAUAUUUUCCAAUAGUUUAUAACACAGACUAGUAUCUACAUAUAUUUUAUGCAUUCACGACAUACAUAAAUUUUUCUUAAUGUUUUUAUAUUUCUAGGCUAUGUGGUUCAUCUGCAAGUUCUUUCAAAUUAUUGCAAAGCUCCAAAAAAUUUCCCAAAAUAUUUUUUGAAAAAAAUCUGCAUAGAAGUGGACCUGCACAGACCAAACUUGUGUUGUUCAAGGGUCGGCUGUAUUUGGGAGAGGAAUCCCACAGAACUUUAAUUUUGAAAGAUAAGGGCUUACACUUCAGAGUAAAAAAUUAAAGAGAAACAAAAUAAUAAAGGAAAAUAAUAAAUGCCUUCUGUUCUAAAGCAAAUCUUGCAGUUGAAUACUUGCAGUUGAAUCCACCAAGACAAAUUAAGAAAUUUUCUUUUCUAUACUGGACAGACCCGAAUUCUAAAGUGUUUGCAUUAGAAUUCUCAAAUAAAAGGGAAAAAGCCACCCAAAAGAGUAUUGCAAGGAAACAUGUGAAUGCUCACCAAAUUCACUUCUAGGCAUAUCUCUUCGAUUGAGAGUAGCAGAGAGAGGUCUCACGGGUGGCUCCACUGUCAAUGGAGGGGAGCAUUCUCCACCACUCACAGGGGAUGGGCCAAAAGAGCCAUUCUGGCUCAGAGGACCUAAAGAUGACAGCAUCUUGUUAGCAUUUUAAGACAGCCUUUUUUUCUUUAUUCAGUUCUUGGGAUUAUUCCUAGGGUACCAUAACCAUUACACACAGAAAUAAAAAGUCACUUAUAUACAUUUUACAUCAAAAAACAGAUUGUUGCCCUUUACAAGGUGCUCCCUUACCUCUCCGUGGAGGGUUUUGUGUAUUUGGUUUUCCUGGCAUUGGUUUUACAAUCACAGGUUCUUCUUGCAGCAUUGCCAUCUUUUGUGUUAAUUCUAAUAAUCUUGAAUAUAGAGAAAGAAUAUUUAAGAAAGAGUUAAAUAUGAAAUAGAAACCAAUUCCUUAAGAGAACACACACUGAAAAUAUAGGCAUCAAAAUCCACAUACUUGUGUCUCAAGUUGGCAGCUUCCCUUUUCUCUUCAGCUAUAGCUCUUUCUGCAGCACGAGCUUUGAGCUAUUGAAGAAAAAUAUCCAAAUUCAGUUGUGGGAGACUAUGCACAAAAUAAGGGAAAGAAAAAAAGAAAUCUUACCCAGUUUUCAUGAGCUUUCUUCUCAUGGGUAGCGAUCUGAAAAAGAUAAUACAUCACAAAAUAUGCUUACAGAUUCAUUAUAAUAGCCUCUAUUAGUUAUCAAAGAAUUCCGGGCACUAUAUAGUAGGGCACUAGAAUUAUUACCUGGUUUUUAAAUGACCGCUCUGUCUUCUGUAAUUCAUCCUCCAUUUCUUCAAUUCUCCGCCUAAGAAUUACACUUGGCUUUAUCAUUUAAAGCACAACUGAAUAAAAACCCAAACAAUCUGACUAUGUUAACCGUUACCCUAACGACUGUACCCUAAUAGAGCUUAUCCAGAAAUAUAAAGCAUAUUUUACAUGGUUGGUUAUAACAAAAGUACAAUAUGAUGAAAACUAAUGAUACAUAAUUUCCUUUAACAGCUGGAGAUUGAGUUGAUAUAUUACAAUUCCUUUAACUGUUCCUAAAUAUGUUCUCAAAUAAUCCUAUUAUUAAUAUCUUCCACUAUAAACCUUUUUUCAUCCUUUAAUUACAUCACAAAAAUUUUCCCAAAGUUAGGACUACUGGGUCUAUCAAAUGGCAAAAUCACUUUAAUGGCUUUUGAUACAUCAUAUAACAAACUGCUCCCACCCCCUCCAACCCCCAGAACUGUUUGCACAAAUCAAGUUCCCUUACAGUUUUGCCAACACUGGGUAUUUGUUAAUAUUUUUCCAUUUGUUAACUUAAAAUUUAGUUUUUCUUUUGUGUGAAUUGAUGUAUUCAUGUCCUCUAACCAUUUAUUUAUGCUUUUGUGCUAAUAAAAAAAGCCAACACU